GACAAUUUCUCGUUUUCCCAAUUUCCACUCGUGUUGAUAUAACUGUAUAUCAACACGGAAAAUGUUUUAUAUUUGUUAAAUCAAAAUUUUGUAAAAAAUACGUGUUUUUAAAUGAAACCACUUCGCACACUCAGCACCAAGUGAAUGCACUUCGCACAACGAGCACCGGUUUGCACAGCUAGAGAACGGAGCUGACAAAUUCCAAUUUUAGGAGUCUGAAGAAUCGGGUGAUACGGAUUCCACGGCAAGUAUACACCGUUGCAGUAACACGUAUCGUCCAGUAGCAACCGUUCAUUUCCGUGGCAUUUGAUUGGCUUGUCUGUUUUUGGUUACUUUUCUGAUCAUAACGGCGAAGUAAAUAAAGUGCGAGUGAAUUAAAACAGUAUAUAUACAUUUUUCUGCCAUUGGUAUUGUAUUAAGUUUGAAGUGAAAGAAAUUUUUGAAAAGCGCGUAAUAUUUUGCCAACAAAUUUAAUGCUUACCAGUGUGUUGCAGAUUCAUUCCACUUCCGUAUCAAACUGCAAUGUUUUCAAACCAAGACAUGUUUCUACAUAGAAUAAUUACUAAAGUUACAGUCUAUUACAUAAAAGUUUUUUUAACCACAGCAUGAGCAAAUUUCAUUCCAAAGCCGGACUAUUGGAAGUUGGAGUAAGCUGAACCAAACUAAAAAAAUUGUAAAGUGGAAUAGACAAUUCCCAUUAUAGACUAAUUUUGAAACUAGGCAACGAGAUGCAAAUAAAUCACCACAGCUAGAAAGAACAUACUAAAAUGAGUAAAAUUGCAAAGUUUGGUUGCGAAAUGUUGUAAAAUGCGGAAACUGAUAUAGCCUUGCAAAGUUCGCAAAUUUUGUAUACUUUUGUAUUGCGUGCGGAAAUUGCUACCACAUUGCUCCGAAUGUAUAAAGUCCUUAAUGAAAAUUAUUCGCCAUGUUUAAGAGAAAGCCUCGUAAGACUUAGAGAACUUAAUAGAGGCCAUAAUUUACGAAAUGAGGAAACGGAUCUAGCACUUCCAAAAACUAAUUUUUUGAAGCGAAGCUUUAAAUAUAGUGCAUAAUGCUGUGGAAUAAUCUUCCAUUAGAUGCAAAAAGAGCGACUUCGCUCAGUCAAUUUAAGAAUAGUAUUGCGGAACUGUCCUUUUAGAACCAUGUUGACUUAAUUAUAGUUAAUUCUCUUUAGUAACUUUACUUACUUUACUUGACUUUAUUUUUCUUUGUUGUUGUUGUUGUUGGGGGAGUUUAUAUAAUAUUCUAUAAUUUUACUGUUUUAUAUAUCACGCCCCUCCUGUAAAUCAACUUUCAGUUGUGCGAGGCUAGCGUGUUUUCAUUUAAAUAAAAUUGAUUGAUGAUGAUGAUGACCUUCAUAACUAUUCCGCCAUUUUGGCUUCACUUUUUUCAUAGGCCAAAUGACUGACGUUCUUACUCCAGUACAUAUAGAGCUCAUUGUCACACACCAGCAUAUUGCAGGAAUCCAACCUCGGAGGUGGACGUUACAUGCGAACCCGUGCCCCCAUCACUUCACUCCCCAUCCCAUACUUUUCGUGUUUCCAAAAUACAUAGUUCUUCUAAUGACAAAAAGAAACAAAUUUUCUUGCAGGCUAAUCGCGACCACGAAGCAGUGAUAAAACAAAGUGAAUUUAUUUCCAAAGAUUUGUCGGGAGAGGAGAGGCUGCAAAAAGCUUUAGACGAGAUCAGCAACUUGACGAAGAAAUUACAUGAACAAAAAACAGAAUUUGACAAUAAGGUAGAGAACGAAGU